rnacentral:lncRNA from 1 species
UCGCUGCCGCCUUGCAGUUUGAUCUCAGACUGCUGUGCUAGCAAUCAGCGAGACUCCGUGGGCGUAGGACCCUCCGAGCCAGGUGCGGGAUAUAAUCUCGUCGUGCGCCAUUUUUUAAGCCCGUCGGAAAUGCGCAGUAUUCGGGUGGGAGUGACCCGAUUUUCCAGGUGCCGUCCGUCACCCCUUUCUUUGAUUAGGAAAGGGAACUCCCUGACCCCUAGCACUUCCCGAGUGAGGCAAUGCCUCGCCCUGCUUCGGCUCGCGCACGGUGCGCACCCACUGACCUGCGCCCACUGUCUGGCGCUCCCUAGUGAGAUGAACCCGGUACCUCAGAUGGAAAUGCAGAAAUCACCCGUCUUCUGCGUCGCUCAGGCUGAUUGCUGCAGACCGGAGCUGUUCCUAUUCGGCCAUCUUGCCUCCUCCCCCGGAAUUUUCUUAAUUGGAAUCUUUGUGCGAUGGCUUUCUCAGAUGCUGAUGGUCUUACCAGCCCUAUAAGAGAUGUUAAAAGGAGUUCUAAAUCUUGAGACAAAGGACCCUGGGCCAGGGAAAGAAAUGAAUGAAGAUGCCACCUUAUGCCCAGAACACAUCUCUCAUUCAAUGAUAAAGGAUUUGUGGUUGGGUCAACUUUUGUGAUGCUCAACUCUUUCCUUCGUAAGGACGGGCUCUUUCUCAGGAGGCUUUUGUACUCCCAAUUAACGCACUGCUAAUCUGAUGAAGCUCUAUUUUGUAGCUAUGCCAUCUGGAUCACAUAGCCUCCAAGGCCAGCAGAGCAGAGGAAGACAAAGAGCAGAGCAAGAUAGAGGUGGAAGUUACACGUCCUUUGUGCUUACUUUCUACUGGCCUCAUCGGGUCGCAAGAUCCCACUCUGAUAGGUGCAUGGGGGCUUGGAAAAUUAGAAAAACAUGUGAAUAUUUGCAAUGCUUUCAGUAACCUGGAGAGGUACACAUGGCUGGUAUAACAAUUAUCUUCAUUUAAUGAUGUGGAAACACCUACCACAAGUCCUGGCACAUUGAGGGUCUUGAAUAAAUUCUGUCAGAUGAACGGACAAGCGCACAAAAGGUUGAAAGAGUG